GGAAGCACAGACUAUGGCAAUCUAUAAAUGAUUUGUGGCAUGAGACUGAUGUCCGAAUUUAGGGGAAGGGGAAUGGUCUUACUUAGGCAUUUUAUGGAAAUUGAGUCUCUCUCCCCGAGAAGAGGGUGAUGAAGCAGCAUCCACGUCUGCCUCUUCUCCAGUAACCUGCUUGUUAUCGACAAUGUCCAGCCGAUGGUAAUGAACUGAAACAAAUGCGCUUGAAAGAGAUGAAUCAAUUUGAGAUUUAACAAAUCGGGUCAAUUUCUGAAAUGCCCAAGGACCGAAGGAGAUCAAUAAUAGGAGUCCCAAUAGGGGCCCUAAAAGGGAGGGCAACAAGGUUGAAAGUCAGGGGGAGGUUGAAAACCAGUUUUGGUAGUCUACCUUCCCCCUAGGCCAUUGUAAAUACUUGUGUAUGGGUGUAACUCAGCUAUCUAUAGUUCUAAGUAUCCACUCUGGUUCCUCUUUAGGUCUUAAACUUCCUUCUUCCUAGUUGAUGGUAAAUUCCUGUGUAAGGCAGUGGCCUAGCUUUUAUUCAAAGUGAUAGUGUAAUGCCAGAGGCUAUUCUGAAUGUCACUGAAUAGGCAACACUCUCCCUGAAUUCUAAGUCCAUGGUCUGUUCAAGGGCUUUUUAGGACAUUGGAACACCAGUGAAGGCUUAGCUAUGUCAGAAUUCAAUCUUAAAAUGCACUUAUAAUAAGAUAAUAUUAAAAGAGAGCACAUGGAUCUAUACACCAGACUAACUCGGGAAUAGAAUAUGAGUACAAAAUGGGCAGUAUGCAGCUGCUGAACUAAGGCUGUGGUAGAUACCUUUUCAAAGUUUGCAUUCCCAGAUUUUUAAACCAAGGAUCGUUUCCUAACUCUAAUAGGCAGCAAAACGUAAGCAGGUCUCUAACAAAAACAUAACAGUAGAUUCCUUAUCUAAAUUAGGAUCUACACAAUUAGUUAAUUGACAAGAAUUACAAUGAAUAUAAAAAGACUUGCCAAGAUUGGCGAUCUUAACUCUUAAAAUUAUCUAACAAUAAGCAUAUAGGUAAGGUACACAAACUUUCAUAGCUAUAAGGAGCUGACCUGAAAGGCCAAAAACAGUGUCUCUGACAAAAGCAUCUUGUACAUUCUCUGUACCAGUCUUUUUGCCUCAUGAGUCAGCUUUUUUAGUUGUUUUUAUUUUAAGUUGGCACCAGGUUGGUACUCCUUGCUGCAGCCCAUGGCGGAGAUACGAAGUUUCUUUAUCUGUUUGUAAGUGGCUGCUCUCUGAUUUCUCUUCUUUUGUAUACUCAACAUAGCUUUCUGGUCACCACUGUCAGGGCACUCACAGGUCACAGGUCAGCCUGUCACAUUGGAAGCUAGCAUGCUCUUGUAGCAUUCUGUGGAAAAAACAGAAACAUUCUCCCUUUUCCCCAUAUUAAGUAUCUGAACAGGAUCAUGGCAAGUGCCAAUAAGUGGAUCCUUUUUAUCUGUCCUAGACAUCAUUAUAUCUAGUUUGUUUUUUUUUUGUAAAUAAAAAUGUGAUUUUAUGUGCACAGGGAUAUAAUUCCUACCUUCUUUGUUUUUAAAGAAGGUAUAGUUUUUAAAGUUUUACAAUACCUUGUCUUUGAGAAUUAUAAAAUAUCUCAGUAACAUGUGUAACAUUAAAUUGUUAACAAAACAUCUCUUGGAGGUUUUGAAAAUAAAAAUUUUGAAGC
rnacentral:lncRNA from 1 species